ACUUUGAAUCUUAGUUAGUGUCUGAGUUUAAGGUUUAGUUUUUUUUUGUUAUAGCGAAAAGUUUUAUUCUAGCUUAGGAUUUAAGUUUAUUUUUUUUUUACAUGCGUAAUUUUAGGAUUGUUUGAAUAACUGAAGGGUGCAGUUUUUAAUUUUAAUUAUUUUUUUAUUGGAGAAUUAGGAAUAGAUUUAAGUUUUAAUAAAAUUUGUGCCAGCAAUUGCGGUUAAACAAAUAAUGCAUUUUAAAUUUUUUGGUUAGUAAUUAAUUGAUAUAGGAGAAAUUUAUUUUUAAGCUUUUUAGGUGAAAUUUUAUGUUUAAUUUAAGUUUGUUUAUUGGUUAUGAGGUUAUUAAAGUUUUAUUUAGACUAGGAUUAGAUACCCUAUUAUUUUUAUUGUAAAUUUUUUACCUGAUUAUUAGUAGUUUAUUUUCUUGAAAGUUAAAGAUUUUGGCGGUAUUUUAGUCUAUUCAGAGGAACCUGUCCUAUUAUUGAUACUCCACGAUUUUAUUUACUUUUUCUUUUAGUUUGUAUAUCGUCGUGGUUGGAAUAUUUUAUAAGAAUUUUAAUAUUCAAUUAUUUUUAUUAUAAUUUAUGUCAGAUCAAGGUGCAGCUUAUGGGGAAGAAGAGAUGGGUUACAAUAAAUUUAUUUAUGGUUUUUUGGUUUUAAUGCUUUUAAUAAAUUGGAUUUGAAUGUAAUAUUUUUUAAUUAAUAGAUGUGAUUUUGGCUCUAAAAUAUGCACAUAUUGCCCGUCGCUCUCAUUUAAGGUGAGAUAAGUCGUAACAAAGUAGGUGUACUGGAAAGUGUAUCUAGAAUGAU
rnacentral:ncRNA from 1 species